rnacentral:sRNA from 1 species
GGCAUUUUGGGAGCUCACUAGCUUCGGGUUCCGUCCGAACUCCGAAGUUAAGCGAGUUCGCGCGAGAGCAAUUCCAUGAUGGGUGACCCAUUGGGAAAUCUCGUGUGAGUUCCCAGAAACAAAACUAUGAGGUGCGUGGUCGGGGCCCAAAGAGGACAAUAUCGUGCUACGGUGGAGUCGAGCCUGGGAUGUGGUGGGGGCCCGAGCCGGGAUGUGACAAUUUGGUAUCAGAACCAAUCCCUGGCCGGAAGUGUGCCGACUAGGACGUCGGGUCCCUAAGGGGGGUGGAUUAUAACGUCUCACAUCGCCCAGGGGAGUGGAUCCUAUAAGCCUUAUAUGUAUAUUCUCAUCCCUACCUAGCACGAGGCUUUUUGGGAGCUCACUGGCUUCGGAUUUCAUCAGAACUCCGAAGUUAAGCGAGCUCGGGCGAGAGCAUUCUCAUAAUGGGUGACCCACUGGGAAGUUCUCGUGUGAGUUCCC